GACGAACGCUGGCGGCGUGCCUAAUACAUGCAAGUCGAACGCAGUGGGGACGGGUGAGUAACACGUGGGUAACCUCCCAUCAGAGGGGAUAACACUUGGAAACAGGUGCUAAACCGAUACUGAUGGAUGGACCCGCGGUGCAUUAACUAGUUGGUGAGGUAACGGCUCACCACGGCCACGAUGCAUAGCUGACCUGAGAGGAUGAGCGGCCACACUGGAGCUGAGAAACGGCCAAGACUCCUACGGGAGGCAGCAGUGGGGAAGCUUGGACAAUGGGCGCAAGCCUGAUGUAGCCAUGCAGGGUGUGUGAAGAAGGCCUUCGGGUUGUAAAGCACUUUCAGCGAGGAGGCGUUACUCGCAGAAGAAGCAACGGCGAACUCCGUGCCAGCAGCCGCGGUAAUAC
rnacentral:rRNA from 1 species